rnacentral:lncRNA from 1 species
AUCUCAAUAACUCCUUCGUCCAGCAUUUUCUGAAGAUCUCUGCGCACCUGGCGACAAUCCAAUCUGUUAACAGGGCAGAUUCGGCAUUUAUCAUGAUCGUGCUCAUAGUGACUGUACUCACACAGCAAACGGUGUAACUCGACCAGAGAUUCUCGAAUAUGACUGACAUAUUUGACUUUGUACUUGCCAGGACAACCCUGGACCAUGUUGACAGAUUUCCCAUGUGUAACACCUCAAAAUUUGCCCUCUCC